AGGACGAACGCUGGCGGUGUGCUUCACACAUGCAAGUCGAACGAGGUAGCAAUACCUAGUGGCGGACGGGUGAGUAACGCGUGGGAAUCUGCCUUUGGAUGGGGGAUAACGGUUCGAAAGAGUCGCUAAUACCGCAUAUGACGAAAGUUGAAAGGAGUAAUCCGUCUAAAGAUGAGCCCGCGUCCGAUUAGCUAGUUGGUAAGGUAAAAGCUCACCAAGGCGACGAUCGGUAGCUGGUCUGAGAGGACGAUCAGCCACACUGGGACUGAGACACGGCCCAGACUCCUACGGGAGGCAGCAGUGGGGAAUUUUCCGCAAUGGGCGAAAGCCUGACGGAGCAAGACCGCGUGGGGGAAGAAGGCUCUUGGGUUGUAAACCCCUUUUCUCUGGGAAGAACGCAAUGACGGUACCAGAGGAAUCAGCAUCGGCUAACUCCGUGCCAGCAGCCGC
rnacentral:rRNA from 1 species